rnacentral:rRNA from 1 species
GGAAUAUUGGUCAAUGGCCGAGAGGCUGAACCAGCCAAGUAGCGUGCGGGAUGACUGCCCUAUGGGUUGUAAACCGCUUUUGCAUGGGAAUAAAGUGGGGGACGUGUCCUCCUUUGCAUGUACCAUGAGAAUAAGGACCGGCUAAUUCCGUGCCAGCAGCCGCGGUAAUACGGAAGGUCCGGGCGUUAUCCGGAUUUAUUGGGUUUAAAGGGAGCGCAGGCCGUAGAUUAAGCGUGACGUGAAAUGCCGCGGCUCAACCGUGGAAGUGCGUCGCGAACUGGUUUACUUGAGUGGGUACGAUGCAUGCGGAAUUUGUGGUGUAGCGGUGAAAUGCUUAGAUAUCACGAAGAACCCCGAUUGCGAAGGCAGCGUGCAAGUCCCUUACUGACGCUAAUGCUCGAAAGUGCGGGUAUCGAACA